GUAAUGGCCGACAUACGAUAGUUUGCGCUGACGUCUAUUCAAACCUAGGAAGUGUUGCAAACAGUUGAUCGGAUCAACAAAGUGUGUUUCUGGAAUAUUAUGUUUUUGUUUCCGCAAGUGUUUUUUAUGCAGUUUUUGCAAAGCUUUAUGUGGAAGGAAACCGGGACCUAGGACAAGCUGAUGGCAUAAGAUGUGUUUUGUGCCAGAAAUGGAGUGUCCACUGAAGACUGAAGAUACUGAAUCUCUACGCUGUGCCAUUGAUCCCUCCUGUGCCUUCAUCUAGACAAGAGACAUUAACUUAACCACUCUCACAUGCUCUGUACCUACAUCACCUUCCCUGACAGUCGUAGCUUGGCUCAUCUGAGGAUGCUGACAAGCUGACACAGUAACAUGGAAGAGGGAGAGAAGCUGGAAA
ensembl:lncRNA